GUUGUCCUCUUCACCAACUCCAUUUACCUCUCAGAAUCACCUGUUCUUCUGGUAUGGCCCUUGUUUUUUCUUCUUCUUAAAAAUCUUCCUAAUUCUUUUACCUUUUUUCCUUCAUUUUGAAUGUUUGGAAUAUGGACUCACGCUUGAAAGCAAUCCUCAUUAUGAGGGUAACCUCAAUUGUCGGUGAUGUCUUCAGUUCCAAGUCAUGUUAAUUUUUACCAGAGGACUAUAAAACCCUAAUCCGAUUUCAUCUUAAUAGUGGUUUAGGGGAAGGGAAUGCGUUUAGGGUUUUCUUUCUUAAUUUUCUUUACAUUAUUUUGUUCAAUUAAGAAAAUUAAUUUUACAAUUCUUUUCAGCACAAUGAAGGUAAAUUAGACAUUAAUAAAUCAAAUACUAGAUUGCAGCAAUAUAUAAAUAUUAAGGAUCAAAGUUGUUAUUAUGCUAAUUUUAAAAGUUACCAAUAGUGAAAAAAAAGAAGAAAAGAUAAAAUUGAAUAGUUAAUGAUUUUUUUUUUGAAUUUUUGCAAUUGAAUAAUAAUAAAAAAAUACUACCAAUUGAAUAAUUAAGUAACUAUUUGGAUCACUACUAUAAAACUUUUAACUUUUUUAUACACCAUAAAUAUUUUAAUUUUUUAUAAAAAUUGUAAUAUUUAUUUAUCUAACCUUGUAAAAAUAAAUAUAAUAUAAAAAAUAUAUUUAAUAAUUCCAGAGUCGACAAUUUUAGUUUUUGAGGGUAAGAUAGUAAAAUUUUAAAUAAAAUUGAGAGUUAUAUAAAAAUUGAAUUCACAUCCCUACACUUACAGUUAUUUUCAUUGAAAAUAAAUUGGAAAGAAAAAGCAAAAAAAAAAAAAAAGUGAAAAUGAAAUUAAAAGAAGAAAAUUUCCCUUUUGUAAAACACACCAAUUACUUGUAUAGCACACCACCUCUCUACACAGCUUUUAUAAUACAAGCUAUAAGGCAAUCACAAAGAAGAAAAAUAAUAACCCAAACUUUUCAUAACAGCCUACCAAAUCAUUACAUACAAAUAUAAAUACAGUAAGUGCUUGUCUUCUUUGCUCCCUUUUAUCUCACCACAAUAUAAAUUUUUACAACCAAAAAUGAAAUCCAAUCCCAAAAGAGCUUUAUCAAAUGCCCCCCAUUCAUCCCUAUCUUGUUUAGGAUAUAAGCUGGGGGCUUCAUCAUGCAGUGGAAGCUCUUAUAUCGGCAUGAGUUCAUCAAGAUUCCGCCUGCGGGGCUUGAACGCAGCAAAGCCAUUUUUUCUAGAAUGAAAAAUAACACUGAGUUAAAAGAGAAAUCUACGAUUGCUACGUUCGCGCAAGCUGUUAUUAUACCAUCAGUUGUAUGCGUGCUAAGUCGGUUAGAGAUUACUUACGGAUUGGGGUUUGUUGGGGUCGGCUCCAGGCUUACCAUGAGUGUCAGCCUUUUCCAGUGACUCCGGUUUGCCACCUGUUUUCUUCUCAUCCCUUGCCUUGUUAAAGAUCACUGUAAAUCCAUCAGCUGAUGCAGGAUCGUUGACAUCCCAUUCACCGAAUUUCGGCAAUGGUCGACCCUGGUCCUGUUGAGCAAAAAGAGAAGUAAAAUGCAUCCGUCAAUAUCCUUGUAACCAAAGUAAGGUAGAUAGACAAAACAUCAAGGCAACAAAAUUAAAGCCUGUCAAGAUUCAUAUCUCGAGUUGCAUGUCAUAACAAUCCAAUAAAAAAUUGUACAGACAAAAGAGCUCCAAGCAUAGAAUUACUUGUCCAAAAUCCAACUAGGAAAGUCCGACAACAAAACUGUUUGCUCUAACAAAUUACUUACCACGAUGGUUCCAAACUCUAAUAAAGGGAAAAACCAGGAUAUUACAAACAACUCUUCAUUGUUUUCCAUAUAGGUCACCCUACUUAUUAGCAUAACCAUGGAAGAUAUUUUUCACUUUCUAGGUCUUUAUAGAAUUAUGGUUUCUUCAAAUAGAACAAGAGUAGAUCUAUUCUGUUCCGAACUAGCAAGCAACCACAUGCAACUUAUCUCUAAAUGCCAACAAAGCUCCUAAAUGAUAGCUGCUAGAUACCGUACGGCUCUUACAUAACUUCAGCUUCAACAUGAUUAAAGUAAAUUUCAUUUAAUAAAAGCAAAAGCAAUCGGGAUGUUUUGCAAUAGGGCAAACAGAAGUAAUUUCAGCCGAGCUCGUAUUGAAAUCUAUUCAGGAAUCUUACAGUAGUCAGGUAAAAAGGCAUGUUGCAAUUUGAAUUAUUACAGUCCGUUGUAGGCCUAAAUAGAUGGCAUAGUUUAAAUUAACCAAACACCGGUUAAUGAUCACUUACGUAAAGCAAUCCGAAAGAGAACCUGCCCUAAGACCAAUCAUAAAUGAUUCAUGGGUACCUAUUUUAAGCUACUGUAUAAUCAAUACUCAUUCACUUGAGACAACUUUUAUUGAAGGGAGAUGUUAGGUGUGUAGGAAAAUGAGAGUUAGCCAAUGCAUAGAUAGUGACAAUACAACAAAUUACAUGAAUCGCAACCACCAUUAAAGGAGAUAAAAAUAUACUACAGAAAAACACAACCAAGUAAUUUGAAAGAUACAUUAAAAGCUUAAAUUAUCUUGAAAAAAGAGAUUAAAAAGAGUCUGCCAAAACGUCAAACUUGAAUCAGCAUAAACUAGAAAUCGAAAACCAAAAUUAAUAUCAUGGGAAUCCAAGCAUAACUUAGUCAGACAUUUCGAAAACUAACAUUGCCAUAUACCCCAUAAGGAAACUUAGAGAAGGUGAAUUGAAUAAUCAACAGGUCGAUAUGAAAAAUUUGUCUACUUUUCAGAAUUUGAUCAUAUGUAUAGGCCAUGACAUUGAAGAACAAGCUUCCAUUUCCAGAUUAGAAUAUCAAAUACUUCCAAAGUAACAAGAAAAUGCCCUGUGAAAAUACCCAGCAAAAGCUAAUUUUCUUAAGGAACAAACUUCAAUGAAUAUCCAUAACAAAAUUAGUAGUACAUUAAAACAACUCACAUAUUUUCUAAAGCAUUUUCUUUUCAAUCCUUUAAGAAAGAUAAUUCCAACCAUAAACCAUGCUAUCACACAAGUGAAUUGCUUAAAUGGUAUUCAAUUCAUCAAUCAAACAUAAAACAAAAAGGCUCAAAACCAGCUUCCACCAAAACCCAUCAAAUGAGACAGCGACAAAAUGAUAAAGUGAAGUGUACAAUUCUAAUCAGUAAAAAAAAAUCUUGCCCAAAAUGAUAACGAAAUAAACUUUUGAUCAGCAACAAAAUCGAUAUCGAUUCUUUAAGAAAAAACAAAAAGGAAAAACAUUAAAAACCCAGAACAAAAGAACCCAUAAAAUAUAUGAAUCACAACAACCCAAAGCUCGUAUCCAUUGAAAAGAAAAGUAAAUUUAAUCAGACAACAAAAAUUAAACAUUUUUAUAACAAAUUUAAACAGGAAAUGAAAGAGAAAAAAAACCAAAAAAGAUUUGCUUACCGACAUGAAUUCUUGACAGAGAGAAACUUUUUAUUGUGAUGGAAAAAAGAGAGAUAUGGGAAAUUAGAGAGAGAGAAAAUGAGAGUUUUUUAGAGAGAGAUUGAAAGAUAUUCAAUAGAAUGGAAUGGAAUUUUGGGGAGGAAAAUGUGAAAGAGAAAAAGAGACUGGUCGGAGAGGGGAUAACCAGCGUUAGUUUUAACGGAUAAACGGGGAGGGGGAAUUGGUGGAAUUGAACCGGAGGCGUAGAUGACACCGUUAAAUAUAACGGAACGAUAAGAUGAGCUGGCAGACGGCUUGAUGAUAGAUUGUUGGGUUUUUUAAGACUAAAUAAAUUAAUAAAUAAAUUUGUAUUUAUAUUUUUUUCUAAAUAACCCUAAAUAAAUGGUUAAUUUUAUUGGUUAGCUUAAAAAUAUUGACUCGAUGAGAUCGGAUAAAAAAAAUAAGAUAUGUUUAGAAAAUGAGCUAAGCCUCGAGUAAAAUAUUUUGGUCUGAGUCUGGUCCGACCUAAAUUUGUAAAAAAGAAAAACUGUUAUUUUGCUGCUGUUUUUUCAUUGUUAUGCUGCUAUUAUUUUGUUGUUAUUGUUUAAAUAUUAUAGAACUCUUGUUUUGUUGUUAAAUUUGUUAUUAUUUUACAGGCAUUUACUUGUUAUUGUUAAUUUUGUUAUUGUUUAAACAUUUAUUUUAAUAUUUUUAGUGUUUUUGAUAUAUUAUAUUUUUUAGUUUUUUAUAUAAAAAAAUAAAAUAAAAAUUUUAAUACGAAUUAGGCCGAGAUUUAACAUCUAUAAUUUGAGUCGAACUUGAGUAAAUUUUAAUCCUAUUUUUUAGGUCGGACAGGACUCGAGCCUAGAAUUUUAUUAGAGCCAAUUUCGAAGUUAACUUGACCUAUUGACAGAUCUAAUAAAAUUAGUAUCAGAACUCAGUCACUUGUAUUUUUAAAGAAAUCUUAUAUAAUUGAAUAGUAUAUCACAUUAUCUUCAUUAUGGUAAUUUAUUCUAUUUUUACACCAUUAAUUUAUACAUUAAAGAUGAAGAUAGAAAGAAUUAUAAUUAAUAUUUAAAUGUAGUUUUAUUUUACGGUUAAAUGUAAAAUUAGUACCUAAAUUUAUCUAUUUUUAUUAGAUUGAUAUCUAAAUUUUUUUUCUAGAUUAGUAUCUAAAAUGUUUUUUCAUCCGUUAAUUUGGUACUGAGUUUAAUGAUAUUAAAAUUUUACUGACGUGGUAGCACUGAAUACUAAUGUGCCGUGUCACACUUCUAAAACCCUUUUGUAUUUUUUAAUAAAAAAAUUUAAAAAAAAAAAAAAAAGGAAACUAUUGAGAUUGCCCAAAUUCAAAGCUUUUUCCCCAGAAAAUAUCGACUGCAACUUCGAUUCUUCUUCUUCUUCGUCAAAUUUUCAAUCUUUUUUUUUGUUUUGCUUUUUGGUUGUGAAUUUAAUCAUUCCUUCUUGAUUUAAAUCCUCCCUUUUUAUUUUUCUUAUUCUUUUUGGUUUAAAUCGAAACCCUAGACCCAAAAUCAAAACCCCUAUUUCUCUUCCCUUCCCUUAAUCUCUCACCACCUCCUCUCUCUCUCAGAUUUUUCUUCGUUUCUUUCUAUAUCUUUGGGGUUUUAAUUUCUUCUUCAUCUUAUGUUGUUUUAUCUAUUAUAUCUAGCUAGGGUUUUUUCUUCUUUUUUUGUUAUGUCAAUUUUUGUAAAUAUGGAUCAACCCAAUGGCAAACUUCAUAACAACUUCUCCUUACCUCAAUUUCCUCUUUUCUUUUUCAAUUUCCUCAUGUCGAGUAACUUUGUAUUGUGUCUUAUUGAUGAGCGUAUUCGAGUAUUUAUACCUGUUAUUAUAGCUCAUAGUAUGACUCCACUCUCUUAUCUUGACUCCACCAUUUUUAAUACUAACAUUCCGUGUGGAUCUCAGACUUGCUGAAUUCGUGUUUCACUUUAAGUUGUUUGUGGAGUACGCAGUCCUUUCUAUUAUUAGCAUUGACAUUUCGUGCGAGCUCCAAGUCUUCUGGACAUGUGUUUCACUCUAGGUUGCUUACGGUACACGUGGUCUCCCUUGCGCGAGCUCAUUGGACGCAUGCAAACUGGGGCCGUGACAUUCGUUUGGCUCAUGUGAACUAAACCUGCGAGCUUAGCUUGCGAGUUGGGUCCUCGAACUCCCCUUGAUGUCCUCUCACGGUUCACCUCGCCCUUUGUCAUUUGACUAGGCUUAUCUGGAUCAUGAGUGGGUGACCUGGAUCCUAUCUAAGACUCAGAUUGGUGAUCACAAUUGUGUAACACCCUUUUCACUUAAUUAGCUUGAUUUUAUGAUGCGAAAAGAUGAUGAAUUUUGCUUUGAAAGUUCAAAUCUUUAUUAUUUUUCCUUCUUGGGUACCAAACGGGUCUUUACUGUUAACCCCCACUAGCUUUACUGUAUUUGCUUGAUUACUUGUUUAUCUUAAACAAAACAAAGGUUUUUUUUUUUAUGUUUCUUGCAUUUGAUGGUUAUGAAGCUAUAUGUUAUCCUGGU
rnacentral:lncRNA from 1 species